CCUACGGGUGGCAGCAGUGGGGAAUAUUGGUCAAUGGGCGCAAGCCUGAACCAGCAACGCCGCGUGAAGGAAGAAGGCUUUCGGGUUGUAAACUUCUUUUCUCAGGGACGAAGCAAGUGACGGUACCUGAGUAAUAAGCCACGGCUAACUACGUGCCAGCAGCCGCGGUAAUACGUAGGCGGCAAGCGUUAUCCGGAUUUACUGGGUGUAAAGGGCGUGUAGGCGGGAAAGCAAGUCAGAUGUGAAAACCAUGGGCUCAACCUGUGGCCUGCAUUUGAAACUGUUUUUCUUGAGUACUGGAGAGGCAGACGGAAUGCCUGGUGUAGCGGUGAAAUGCGUAGAUAUUAGGAGGAACACCAAUGGCGAAGGCGGUCUGCUGGACAGCAACUGACGCUGAGGCGCGAAAGCGUGGGGAGCAAACAGGAUUAGAUACCCUUGUAGUC
rnacentral:rRNA from 1 species